GACGAACGCUGGCGGCGUGCUUAACACAUGCCAGUCGAACGGAAAGGCCCUGCUUUUGUGGGGUGCUCGAGUGGCGAACGGGUGAGUAACACGUGAGUAACCUGCCCUUGACUUUGGGAUAACUUCAGGAAACUGGGUCUAAUACCGGAUAGGAGCUCCUGCUGCAUGGUGGGGGUUGGAAAGUUUCGGCGGUUGGGGAUGGACUCGCGGCUUAUCAGCUUGUUGGUGGGGUAGUGGCUUACCAAGGCUUUGACGGGUAGCCGGCCUGAGAGGGUGACCGGCCACAUUGGGACUGAGAUACGGCCCAGACUCCUACGGGAGGCAGCAGUGGGGAAUAUUGCACAAUGGGCGGAAGCCUGAUGCAGCAACGCCGCGUGCGGGAUGACGGCCUUCGGGUUGUAAACCGCUUUCGCCUGUGACGAAGCGUGAGUGACGGUAAUGGGUAAAGAAGCACCGGCUAACUACGUG
rnacentral:rRNA from 1 species